AUGGGAAAAAACGAAGAGACUUUCCUCUUCUCAUUUAAUCAAGAACAUAUGUUCAAAGAUAAUACCGGAGGCUUAUUCUGGGAAGCGUUCUGCUCUUCCUCCGACAGCCACGCAGCGAGCUCACGAGGCAGCCUCCACACAUAAUGAAAGCAAACGCCACCAUAAAUCUCCCGCUCGGCGGAGGUCACUUCAGAAAAAUCGCCCGCUGCUCAAAUAAGCACCGGCUCUGCUGAGGCACAUGGAUGGGGGUAACGCCGACUGUGAUAAACACCAGCAGAAACCUUGUCGCUUACACAGUUUCUAGCUCAGGAGCAAGCCAUCUAUCAUCGCAUGAGGUGAAGGUGGCACGGAGCAGUGUGUGCUGAAGCAGAACCAACAUGGAAAUGGUGAGGAAGCAGCGAGAACGUGCCAUCCAUGAAUCAGAAAAUGGGCCCUAACCAAAUCUACUGGCACCUUGAUGCAGGACUUCCAGCCUCCAGAACCAUGAGAAAUAAACGUCUGUUGUUUGUAAGUUGCUCAAACUGUAGUCUUUUGUUGUAGUCACACAAACUAAGACAACUGAAGAACCAGAUUCUAGAUGUAUUUUGUAGUAGGACAGCCCAGAACUUGCUGAUGCAUAGGAUUUGAGGAGGAAAAAAAAGAAGAAUUUCAGAUGACUCUUAGCUUAGGUUUCAGUGGCUGCAUGGAUGGUGAGCCAUUUUCUGGAAUAGGGCAGAUUGGAAUGACUGACCAGGCCUUUAUCACAGAAGACGUCAAAGCAAGAACUCUGCAGCCCCAGACAUCAAGGUUCUUGGAACCUGAUCUGCUGAGGAACUCUUGGUUCUCUCUGUAGUCCAAGGGCCCUAAUUCUUAUAGACCAUCACUGUAAUUUCACUUCAGUCACCCCAACCGUACCUCCUCCCUCAAAACCUACCUAUCUAUCCCUAGGAUGCUUAGAGGAAGAAAGGCUUGGGGUUGAUGCAGUGAAUUAACCCAAAUAUCAAUUCUCUCCUUUCUAACUCUGUACAUUGUUAGGACAACAUUGCUCCAAGUGCCAUAUCAGCCUCCACCUCUACAAUAAGGGCAGGGAGAACAUAUUUACUUCACAGAGCUUUCAUUUUUAAAACUGAAACAAAGCUAUAUAUCUAAAGUACUUACCACAGUGCCUACAUUAUGUUGAGUGUUUGGUAUAUAUUGGAUGUAAUUAUCCUUAGCAUUUCUUUUUUUUUUUUUUUUCAUUUCUUUUACUUUUUUCAAAGUAAAUUUAUUGCCAGGUUCAAAUCUGCUGCUUAUACAGAGAGACUGGAAAUAAGUUUUGUUUGUCUUUAGCUCUACAGAUGAGGGAUGUUUUGUAGCAGUAUAAUUAUCCAGGCAAAAAAUUUCACCACCAGGAAAAUAGAUGUUCAAUUGCAUUUGCCCAAAAUAAAAAUUAAGAUGGAUUAAGACAUAAAA